AUUGAACGCUGGCGGCAUGCCUUACACAUGCAAGUCGAACGGCAGCACGGGAGCAAUCCUGGUGGCGAGUGGCGAACGGGUGAGUAAAGUAUCGGAACGUGCCCAGUCGUGGGGGAUAACGUAGCGAAAGUUACGCUAAUACCGCAUACGAUCUAUGGAUGAAAGCGGGGGAUCGCAAGACCUCGCGCGAUUGGAGCGGCCGAUAUCAGAUUAGGUAGUUGGUGGGGUAAAGGCUCACCAAGCCGACGAUCUGUAGCUGGUCUGAGAGGACGACCGGCCACACUGGGACUGGGACACGGCCCAGACUCCUACGGGAGGCAGCAGUGGGGAAUUUUGGACAAUGGGCGAAAGCCUGAUCCAGCCAUGCCGCGUGCAGGAUGAAGGUCUUCGGGUUGUAAACUGCUUUUGUACGGAACGAAAAGGUUUGGGCUAAUAAGCUGAGCUCAUGACGGUACCGUAAGAAUAAGCACCGGCUAACUACGUGCCAGCCGCCGCCGUAA
rnacentral:rRNA from 1 species